rnacentral:rRNA from 1 species
CAGUAGCCGCGGUAAUACGGAGGGGGCUAGCGUUGUUCGGAAUUACUGGGCGGAAGGCGCACGUAGGCGGCUUGGUAAGUUAGAGGUGAAAGCCUGGAGCUCAACUCCAGAAUUGCCUUUAAGACUGCCGAGCUAGCAGGUGAGAGAGGUAAGUGGAAUUCCGAGUGUAGAGGUGAAAUUCGUAGAUAUUCGGAAGAACACCAGUGGCGAAGGCGGCUUACUGGCCCAUACUGGACGCUGAGGUGCGAAAGCGUGGGGAGCAAACAGGAUUAGAUACCCGCGUAGUCCCUGUCUCUUAUAU